UCCUGCCAAGGGCACAGCUGGAUAGCUAAAUACGGAAGGGAUAAUUACUGAAUGCAUCUAAGUGAGAAACCCGCCUCAAAAAUAGGUAUCCCAAUAGGAAAGUUGAAGACUACAACGUUGAUAGGUCAGGUGUGGAAGUGUAGUAAUACAUUAAGCUAACUGAUACUAAUUGCCCGUACGGCUUGAUCCUAUAACCUU
rnacentral:rRNA from 1 species